rnacentral:rRNA from 1 species
UACGGAGGGUGCAAGCGUUAAUCGGAAUUACUGGGCGUAAAGGGUGCGUAGGUUGUCAAUUAAGUUAUAUGUAAAAUCCCUGGGCUUAACCUGGGCAGGUCAUAUAAUACUGAUAGACUCGAGUAUUGGAGAGGGUAGUGGAAUUUCCGGUGUAGCGGUGAAAUGCGUAGAGAUCGGAAGGAACACCAGUGGCGAAGGCGGCUACCUGGCCAAAUACUGACACUGAGGCACGAAAGCGUGGGGAGCAAACAGG